GACUUCUCAACCAAAUAGUGUUCUAGCAUAUCGUCUUCGUUAUCUGCCAUUAACCAUAAGACAAGAUGGUUUCUUCAUCGAAUUGUGAACACAAAGCAUUUCCUUCAUAACAAAAUUCAGUGAUAAGACUACAUGGGAUAUAAGGAAAGAGAAUCACCUUCAAAAUCAUCAGAAUCGAAGUCAAUCUCGUCCUCAUCUUCUUCAUCGGACCCUUCAACGACUCGAGCUGCACCGUUCCAUGGAGGGAGAAAAAGCAAGCAAAAUGGAAAAAUGAUGGGGAAAGUGCAAGGAAAAAGAAGGGAAUAGAGAGCCAAUAAAGAAAGAAAAUGAGCUCCUUUUGAGGUUUGUGGAGACAGAGAAAUGAAACAAUGAAAGGAGAUAGAGAAAAGUAGCUCCUUUUGAGGUGGCUGUGUUAGAUAUUUUGAUAAUUUUAUGAGAAUUGGGAGAAACGGGUCCAAUCAGGGCCCCGUUUCAUAAGGCUUUUGCACCUGCCC
rnacentral:lncRNA from 1 species